GAUGAACGCUGGCGGCGUGCCUAAUACAUGCAAGUCGAGCGAACAGACGAGGAGCUUGCUCCUUUGACGUUAGCGGCGGACGGGUGAGUAACACGUGGGUAACCUACCUAUAAGACUGGGAUAACUUCGGGAAACCGGAGCUAAUACCGGAUAAUAUUUCGAACCGCAUGGUUCGAUAGUGAAAGAUGGCUUUGCUAUCACUUAUAGAUGGACCUGCGCCGUAUUAGCUAGUUGGUAAGGUAACGGCUUACCAAGGCAACGAUACGUAGCCGACCUGAGAGGGUGAUCGGCCACACUGGAACUGAGACACGGUCCAGACUCCUACGGGAGGCAGCAGUAGGGAAUCUUCCGCAAUGGGCGAAAGCCUGACGGAGCAACGCCGCGUGAGUGAUGAAGGUCUUCGGAUCGUAAAACUCUGUUAUUAGGGAAGAACAAACGUGUAAGUAACCGUGCACGUCUUGACGGUACCUAAUCAGAAAGCCACGGCUAACUACGUG
rnacentral:rRNA from 1 species